rnacentral:rRNA from 1 species
UACAGAGGGUGCGAGCGUUAAUCGGAAUUACUGGGCGUAAAGCGCACGUAGGUGGCGACGUAAGUCGGGUGUGAAAGCCCCGGGCUCAACCUGGGAAUUGCAUUCGAGACUGCAUUGCUGGAGUAUGGAAGAGGAGGGCGGAAUUCCAGGUGUAGCGGUGAAAUGCGUAGAUAUCGGGAGGAACAUCAGUGGCGAAGGCGGCCCCCUGGUCCAGUACUGACACUCAAGUGCGAAAGCGUGGGGAGCAAACAGG